AGGUGAUGAAAGUUAUAGCCCCGCUGGAAAAGGGUGAUAACAGGAGCCUUACUGAAGGGUUUGACAUUCAGGCCACAAUCCAGCUAGAUAGUUUACUAUCGAAAGAAAAUGUCAUUA
rnacentral:ncRNA from 1 species